UAAUUGAAGAGUUUGAUCAUGGCUCAGAUUGAACGCUGGCGGCAGGCCUAACACAUGCAAGUCGAGCGGCAGCGGAAGGAAGCUUGCUUCCUUGCCGGCGAGCGGCGGACGGGUGAGUAAUGUCUGGGGAUCUGCCCGAUGG
rnacentral:ncRNA from 1 species